UUAAGCAAAGAAGAGCGCAGGGUGGAUGCCUUGGCACUAAGAGCCGAAGAAAGACGUGAUAAGCUGCGAAAAGCUGCGGGGAGAUGCAAAUAAUCCUUGAUCCGCAGAUGUCUGAAUGGGGAAACCCGGUACGAAGAACUCGUAUCAUCCAUACGCCAAUCCAUAACGUAUGGAGGGGAACCCGGUGAACUGAAACAUCUAAGUAGCCGGAGGAAGAGAAAGAAACAUCGAUUUUGUUAGUAGCGGCGAGCGAAAGCGAAAGAGGCCAAACCGGAGUGCGUGCACUCCGGGGUUCGGACCGCAUUUAAGAUUCAGUGAUUCUAGCAGAAAGGUUUGGGAAAGCCUGCCGGAGAGGGUGAAAGCCCCGUAAGCGAAAGGAGAACUGACUGAGCGGGAUCCAGAGUACAUCGAGACACGAGAAACCUUGAUGGAAUGAGCGGGGACCACCCCGUAAGCCUAAAUACUACUUAGUGACCGAUAGCGCAUAGUACUGUGAAGGAAAGGUGAAAAGGACCCCGGGAGGGGAGUGAAAGAGAACCUGAAACCCUGUGUCUACAAGCUGUGGAAGCACUUUAUAUGUGCGACCGCGUACUUUUUGUAGAACGGUCCGGCGAGUUACGCUUACUGGCAAGGUUAAGCACUUCAGGUGUGGAGCCGUAGGGAAACCAAGUCUUAAGAGGGCCUUAAGUCAGUAGGAGUAGACCCGAAACCGGGUGAUCUAUCCAUGUCCAGGUUGAAGCUGCCGUAAGAGGUAGUGGAGGACCGAACCCACAUCCGUUGAAAAGGGUGGGGAUGAGGUGUGGAUAGGGGAGAAAUUCCAAUCGAACCCGGAGAUAGCUGGUUCUCCUCGAAAUAGCUUUAGGGCUAGCCUCGAUUUAGUCUUAUGGAGGUAGAGCACUGAAUUUCCGCGGGGGCGUCAAAGCUUACCAAAGAAUAUCAAACUCCGAAUGCCAUGUAGAUGAUGAUCGGGAGUCAGACUGCACGAGAUAAGUUGGGCAGUCAAAAGGGAAAGAGCCCAGACCACCGGCUAAGGUCCCAAAGUGCGUGUUAAGUGGAAAAGGAUGUGGGAAUUCGAAGACAACUAGGAUGUUGGCUCAGAAGCAGCCAUACAUUCAAAGAGUGCGUAACAGCUCACUAGUCGAGAGUUCCUGCGCCGAAAAUGUCCGGGGCUGAAACACGACACCGAAGCCGUGGACUCGCAAUGCGAGUGGUAGAGGAGCAUUCUUAAAACCGACGAAGCUGUACCGUAAGGAGCAGUGGAGGGAUAAGAAGAGAGAAUGCCGGAAUGAGUAGCGAGAGAAAGGUGGGAAUCCUUUCGGCCGAAUAUCUAAGGUUUCCAGAGUAAAGCUGAUCUGCUCUGGGUAAGUCGGGGCCUAAGCACAGGUCGCAAGACGUAAGCGAUGGAUAACAGGUUUAGAUUCCUGUACCACGCAUUAUCAGAACUGUAGGGACGCAUGUGGAAAGCACGAGCCGGGAAUGGAAAGACCGGUACAAGCGGGGUAGGUGUACAAUAGGCAAAUCCGUUGUAUAAUCCGAAGACGUGAUGUGGAGCGAAAUAAAGUAGCGAAGCGUGUGAGCCAUGUGCCGAGAAAAGCUGCUAUUGUGUAAUGCGUGCCCGUACCGUAAACCGACACAGGUGGAUGAGGAGAGAAUCCUAAGGCCGACGGAAGAAGCAUUGUUAAGGAACUCGGCAAAAUGACCCCGUAACUUCGGGAGAAGGGGUGCCCUGUGAAAGCAGGGCCGCAGAGAAUAGGCUCAAGCAACUGUUUAGCAAAAACACAGGUCUAUGCGAAACCGAAAGGUGAGGUAUAUGGGCUGACGCCUGCCCGGUGCUGGAAGGUUAAGAGGAGAGGUUAGCGCAAGCGAAGCUUUGAAUUUAAGCCCCAGUAAACGGCGGCCGUAACUAUAACGGUCCUAAGGUAGCGAAAUUCCUUGUCGGGUAAGUUCCGACCCGC
rnacentral:rRNA from 1 species